GUCUAAAAUCUAGCCUAUAGUAAUUACAUACUAUCAUCACCCAACUCAAUUUAAAUAAAACAUUUUACUUUUAUAGUAGAGGCGAUCAAAAAAUAUCUAAGAGCUUAAGAAAUAGUACCGCAAGGGAAAGAUGAAAUAAAAAUGAAACAAAUUUAAAACAAAUUAAAGCAGAGAUUCUAGCUCGUACCUUUUGCAUCAUGGUCCAGCUAGUAUAAUCAAGCAAAACGAAAUUUUAGUUUGCACCCCCGAAACUAAGCGAGCUACUUCAAAACAACUAAAAGAGCUAACCCGUCUCUGUCGCAAUAGAGUGGGAAGAUUUUCAAGUAGAAGUGAUAAGCCUAACGAGCUUAGAGAUAGCUGGUUAUUUAGAAAAAGAAUAUUAGUUCUACCUUAAAUACAACUAUGAAAUUAAACAAACCCUUAUAUUUAAGAGCUAUUCAAUUAAGGCACAGCUUACUUGAAACAGGACACAACCUACACAAUAGGGUAAAACAUUGACUAUUAUAUUAAGUGGGCCUGAAAGCAGCCACCUUUUAAAAAGCGUUAAAGCUUACUAUAUUACGUAUAAUAAAUACCAAAAAUUAACAUGAACCCUUAUCCCAUACUAAAUAAUUCCAUAAUUAUAUGGAAAAUAUCCUGCUGGAACUAGUAACAAGAAUCUGAGAUUCUCCAAAAUGUAAGUAUACACCAAAAUGGACAUCCCAUUGGUAAUUAACGAAAAUGAGUAAAAUAUAGCAACUAAAACAAGAAAACCCUAUAAAUUCUCUCGUUAACCUAACACUAGAACAUUCCCGGAAAGAUUAAAAGAAAGAGAAGGAACUCGGCAAAUCUUAACCCCGCCUGUUUACCAAAAACAUCGCCUCUUGAUCAAUUAUAAGAGGUCCAGCCUGCCCAGUGAUAAAUUUAACGGCCGCGGUACCCUGACCGUGCGAAGGUAGCAUAAUCACUUGUUCUUUAAAUAGGGACUUGUAUCAACGGCAUCACGAGGGUUAUACUGUCUCCUCUCUCCAAUCAGUGAAACUGAUCUCCCCGUGAAGAAGCGGGGAUAUUCACAUAAGACGAGAAGACCCCAUGGAGCUUUAAAUUUUAUAGCAACUCAGUCAAAUAAUACCUCAUAAUCUACAGAGCUAUGCCCACUAAUUUUAGGUUGGGGUGACCGCGGAGUAAAAAUUAACCUCCACGACGAAAAGAACUAAAUCUUUAUCUAAGAGCCACAACUCUAAGAAUUAGUACACUAACGACCAUGAUCCGAUAAUCGAUCAACGGACCAAGUUACCCUGGGGAUAACAGCGCAAUCUACUUUGAGAGCCCAUAUCGACAAGUAGGCUUACGACCUCGAUGUUGGAUCAGGGUAUCCCAGUGGUGCAGCCGCUACUAAUGGUUCGUUUGUUCAACGAUUAAAACCCUACGUGAUCUGAGUUCAGACCGGAGUAAUCCAGGUCGGUUUCUAUCUAUUAAGUGUUACUCCUAGUACGAAAGGAUUGGAGUAACAUGGCCUAUGUAACCCUAAGCCAUUUUCAACACUAAUGACAUCAACUUAAUUAAGCAAGACCUCCCCCCUCUCAUUAGAGAAAAAUAAUUU
rnacentral:rRNA from 1 species